AGUGAGGANUAUGGUCAAUGGAUGGAAAUCUGANCCAGCCAAGUAGCGUGCAGGAUGACNGCCCUAUGGGUUGUAAANUGCUUUUAUGUGAGAAUAAAGUUAGGUAUGUAUACUUAUUUGCAUGUAUCACAUGAAUAAGGACCGGCUAAUUCCGUGCCAGCAGCCGCGGUAAUACGGAAGGUCCAGGCGUUAUCCGGAUUUAUUGGGUUUAAAGGGUGCGUAGGCCGUUUGAUAAGCGUGCUGUGAAAUAUAGUGGCUCAACCUCUAUCGUGCAGCGCGAACUGUCGAACUUGAGUGCGUAGUAGGUAGGCGGAAUUCGUGGUGUAGCGGUGAAAUGCUUAGAUAUCACGAAGAACUCCGAUUGCGAAGGCAGCUUACCGUAACGUUACUGACGCUUAAGCACGAAGGGGCGGGUAUCGAACAGG
rnacentral:rRNA from 1 species